UAGGGAAUCUUCCACAAUGGACGCAAGUCUGAUGGAGCAACGCCGCGUGAGUGAAGAAGGUUUUCGGAUCGUAAAGCUCUGUUGUUGGUGAAGAAGGAUAGAGGCAGUAACUGGCCUUUAUUUGACGGUAAUCAACCAGAAAGUCACGGCUAACUACGUGCCAGCAGCCGCGGUAAUACGUAGGUGGCAAGCGUUGUCCGGAUUUAUUGGGCGUAAAGCGAGCGCAGGCGGAAGAAUAAGUCUGAUGUGAAAGCCCUCGGCUUAACCGAGGAAUCUGCGAAUCGGAAC
rnacentral:rRNA from 1 species